GGCGAAGCCGCGAGGCAGAGCGAACCCCAAAAAGACCGUCCCAGUUCGGAUCGCAGGCUGCAACCCGCCUGCGUGAAGUCGGAAUCGCUAGUAAUCGCGGAUCAGCAUGCCGCGGUGAAUACGUUCCCGGGCCUUGUACACACCGCCCGUCACACCAUGAGAGUCGGGAACACCCGAAGCCCGUAGCCUAACAGCAAUGAGGGCGCGGUCGAAGGUGGGUUCGAUAAUUGGGGUGAAGUCGUAACAAGGUACC
rnacentral:rRNA from 1 species